AAAGUACUCCCUCCGUCCCAAANUAGAUUUGUCUAGAUACGGAUGUAUCAAGUCACAUUUUAGUAUUAGAUACAUCCGUAUCUAGACAAAUCUAAGACAAGAAAUUUGGGACAGAGGGAGUAGUUG
rnacentral:pre_miRNA from 1 species